rnacentral:misc_RNA from 1 species
UUUUUUUCACAACCCAGCUAUGCAUCACGGUUCCAACGCUUUUUUAACCAAAUCCAUGCACUCAUACACUCCUUUCAGAGGAUUUAAUGUAACUUGCUGGCAGGUAGAUUUCUCCACCAACUUCACCAUGUUGUUCUCCACUAACAGUUUUCUUAGCAGCCAGGAAUUCAGCACUCAUGGCAUCCAUCCCACGCUGCACAGCUUCCUCAGCACUACCAUAACCAUGCUCCUCUGCAUA